rnacentral:lncRNA from 10 species
AUAUUUUCAUUCUUUUGAAACUGUUUAUAUGUUUAUUAACUAACCACAGGAAACACAUUUUUUAAAUCACAAGUAGCAAGAAGGAUAUCUAUUUAGAUGGAACUUGAACAUGAUAUUGUUGAAUUAUGGUAUAUUGAAAGGGUUUGGGAAUUAUAUGGAGAGAAAGUUCCAGCACUAGCUUAAUUAUGGGAGGGUAUUAUUUAAAAUACCCAUUAUCUAAAGCCAUACCUACUUUGCUACAUAAAUUAAGUAUAUACUUAUUAACGUUUGGAAAGGGUAUCUUUUCUUAAUUUUUAUUCUUUCCUGACCUAGCAUUGAGAACUGAAAAUUUACCAUUCAUUCAUUUGGAUGAAAGACCUGUUCCAAAUUCAAUUGAAUAAAAUGUCAAAAAAGGAAGUGUGUUAGAUACUAAAACCCUAUUAUUAACUGAUUAUGUAUAAAAUUACAACUAAAAGCAAGUAGGUCACUUUAUGGGUUACACAUUCAAGAGCUAAGUUUAAAUGCACAAAGGGAAAGGUUAGAGAGGGCUAUUAAAAUAAACAAUAAAUAAUUGCAGGGAACACCUUGAGAGCAAAGAGAAAGGUGAGGCUAAAAGAGAAAAGGAAAUUAAAACCGAAUUAAGAGGGUUCUAAAACCAAAUGAGAGUUGUGAAGUUUUAGAAGUAGAAAAAACAUUAGGGAUUUUCUACACAGUUAGUACAAUUAGUCGGAAUCAGCCGUGGGACUCGGACUUACAGCCUUCUCCAUCCAAAUUCAAAGUUAAACCCAUAAACCAUACCCAGAAUAUUUUAUCAACAAGGCAUCCUGAAUAAUUCAUACUGGAUAAUAAAAGGGUCAAUCCAUGUCUCAACAGUAUCUCAACCUUCAAUGUCUUGCUGGAGUGCAGUGGCUAUUCACAGGUCCAAUCAUCGCACAGCCUCAAACUCCUGGGCUCAAUUUGUCCUCCUGCUUCAGUUCCCUGAGUAGUUGAGACUACAGGCACACGCCAUUUCUUGAAGUGGAAUGGGUGUGCUCUAGCAAAACAGAGACUGCGAUCUUCAACGUCUUCUGUCCUUCGGCUCCAGCAAAGUCUCCCCUCAUGUGCUGCCUCCUUCUCUGCUCUUCUUGAUUCAAUCAAGGACCCAGAUUGCUUUCUGCCUUGCCAGUCAAAAGUCCUCAACAAGUGGCCAUAUGAGCCUACCUUCCACAAAUCCACAAAUAUUAUUGAUAUAGUUUGAAUGUCCCCUCCAAAUCUCAUGUUGAGAUGUAAUCCCCAGUGUUGGAUGUGGGGCCUGGUGGGACGUGUUUUGGUCAUGGGGGCAGAUUUCUUAUAAAUGGUUUUGAAUCAUACCCUUGGUGCUGUCCUUGUGAUAGUGAGUAAGUGCUCAUGAGAUCUGGUUGUUUAAAAGGGUGUGGCGGGAGGGGAACAUCACACACUGGGGCCUGUCAGGGGGUGAGGGGGCUAUGGGAGGGAUAGCAUUAGGAGAAAUACCUAAUGUAGAUGACGGGUUGAUGGGUGCAGCAAACCACCACGGCACGUGUAUACCUAUGUAACAAACCUGCACUUUCUGCACAUGUACCCCAGAACUUAAAGUAUAAUUUUAAAAAAGUGUGUGGCAUCUUCCCCGUCACUCUCUCUUGCUCCUGCUCUAGCCAUGUGACUGCUCCUGCUUCACCAUCCAGCACAAGUAAAAACUUCCCGAGGCCUCCCCAGAAACUGAGCAGAUGCCAAUGCCAUGCUUCCUGUAUAUCCUGCAGAACCAUGACCCAAUUAAACCCCUUUUCUUCAUGAAUCACCCAGGCUCAGCUAUUUCUUCAUAGCAAUGCAAGAACGGCUUAAUACAAUCACCCCACUUUCAUUUCAUGUGUAUAUAAACACACACACACACACACACACACUGCAUCUUAUUUAACAAUGAGGCUUUUUUCAACUAUCUGUAACAAUGUACAAAAUAUGAAAAAUAUGUUUCCUAAGGUGGCAUUAAUCCCAAAAUGAUAAACUAUAGAAUAUUAAUCCCAGUAAAUUCCUUGGUGUGGAGGUGUGGAAACAGAGGGUGGGGAUGAAGCAACUUUCUUUAAAAGUUUUGGAAGUGUACAAUCACAAUAUAUAAUAGCAUAUAUCAAGAGUCCUGUAUGUUUCAUAAAUAAAUAUGUUUAAACUUGUAAAUCUAAUAUAUCCUAAAAGGACUCAUCCAUAAAUUUAUUUUUGUCAUCUAACACUACUAAGAUCCUUAUAAGAAAAAGUUACACGUGUACUCUUGCUUCAGUUAUAUAAAAUUGUUGCCUUUGACUUCAUGUGUUAUACCAUUUACUAUAUCCCGCAGCGCAUCUGAACUAAUUCACAGAGGACCUGGUUGGAGGCCUGGAGAAAAUCGGCAGUCUCACAUGUAAACUUCCAGUUUAUUGGGAUGAGCUAAAAGAGUGUAUUCUCGACAAAGUCUAGCAGGCUCAGCAAUGUGGGUUGCGUGUGGCUUCUCAGGACUCCUAGGUCCUCCUGGGCACACAUGCUUUGCUGGUGGCAAUGGCACUCCUCCUGUCCAAGGAGUUCUGCCACAUCCCCCUCCCGAGAAGGAGCUUGCCUUGCUUCUUUCAACCAUGUCACUUGGAACUCCAGCCUUUAGCAAGCCAUAGCAACUGGGAUCAAAGGAUUUAGAUAUCAGGUACAACUUUUAACUUUACUUCCAGUUAUUUCAUGCUUCAUGGACCACAAAUUAUGUAACUAUGACUAGGAGUCAUGCGUGGCCAAUCACAAUGCAACUACCUUGUGUGUGGAGGACCAGCCUGUGGGCCCGUGCAGCCACACGAGCUAUAGUGUGAAGGUCUAGAGAGAAGUGAUCACAGCCAGUCUGGGCACGGCCUAUGGCACUGUCCACAUGAGAAUAUUCUCUGCAGCUUGAACCCAGUAAAAAUAUCGUCUCCCCUAAUACCCUAAUAUUAUUUUGUUAUUGAACACUUUAUCACAUUUUAGUAUAAUAUUUCCUUCUUCUCUUAGUCCGACAAGGAGCUUAGAGAUAGCUUUUAUAUUCAAUUGAAACACUGUAUUUUGGGUGCAUGAUUUUGGGGGAAUUUUGUUUGUUUGUUUUUUAACAAGCUACUCAAAUCAUGUUUAUCCAAAAUUAAAAGAUAUAGACUGCUAAGAAAACUGUGAGGUCUAUUUUGAAACAGAUAAAUGAGAAUGAAAGAAGUUAGAGUAUAAAUGUAAUUUAAACAUACAAUAUUCAGCAACUAUCAGAAAAUAAAAAUUUAUUGAAGAAAUUUCCUAUUCUUUCUGAAUUUCUCAUGCUGAGGAAGAAUGAUUUUUAAAAAAGCUAUUUGACUUUUGGAAUUUUAUCCUCAGGGAUAAAACUCAGAACACUACAAAAUGAUUUAUGUAUGAGAACAUUCAUUGUGGCAUUUUAAAAAUUGAAAUAAAGAAGAAAUAUUAAAUCUCUAAUAUACCUGUAAAAUUAUUUUUGAGGAAUCUUUAGUAAAGUGAGAAAAUGCUCACAACCUAGACUUGGAUAGGAAGGCAAAUUGAAAAUAACAUGUAUAAUUAAUAUAAAUACCAAUAUCUGAUGUUUGUGGAGUGCUUACUACAUGCCAGACAUUGUACUGAGUAUUUUUCACUGAUUACCAGAAGAAAUAAUUUAUUUUGGAAAAUGUAAAAUAUAUGCAAAUAAGUGAAUGGCACAAUCCAAAGUACCCAUAAUUGUCCACAUCGAGAAAAAAAAAAAGACCUAUCAUGAGCAUUGACAAAUAUACCAGGAACUGUGAGAGGAAAUUUAGGUGCAUUCACUCAGUUAUUCCUCCCAGAAAACCAGUGAUGUAGGUUAUUUUUGUCAUUCAUGCUCAUUCCACUAGAUGACACUGCUAUAAUAAUAAUAAUAAUAGUAGUAGUAGUAGGAGGAGUUAUAACAUAUCUCCCCUCCUUGAAAAAUGAUACUUUUAAUGAUAACCCUAAAGAGCAUCAGUGAAAAUUAAAUUUAUAAUAUCCACUUACAUAUUAAGUAUGUUUAAAAUGUUGUAAUUCUUUUGUAAUUGAUAAUCUAUUUGUAGUAUCUAUAGACCGAUGUACCAAGGCAGUAAAACAUCACAAUUUAACUUUUAUACUUUUUUAUUUUCUUGGAAUACAAUGUACAUGUCCCCAUAGAAAUGUUUAAACAGUAGUUAGUGACUGAUUUCAGACAAAAAAAAAUGCUAUUAAUUCAUUUACUUAGGAGUUCAGAAGAGGUAAGGUAUGCUGAGGAACUCUCUCACAUUCAAGCACACACACACACACACACACACGCGCACACACACACACCUGUGGAAUAAGCAUCUCUCACUCCCCUUUAUGCUGAAUGAACUUGCCAAGGGCUUCCGUUGGUAGUGGCCAUUACAGAUGUCCUCUUAUGCUGGAUUUGGAACAGGACAUGAGAGGAGAGUCAGGCUUGGACUGGCACAGGAAAUGAGGAUUCUGCCAAAGUAAGAGGGGAUCCGGGUGCCCUCUGAAGAGCUGAGACUCAGUGCCUUGUCAGAAGGGCUUCUCGUGGGCUCAAGGGAGAAAGGGAGAAGGGCUAAGAUUUCCAUGAGAUGGAUGAGAGAGGGCCUUCAGAUCCCAGGACUCUUAACAUGGAGGAUGUUCACUAAAGGGUAGGGAAACGGGGCUCUCAAAACACCGGAACCAACUUGUAGCAGCUGCUUGAUCUAACAUGGAAAUAGCAGCUCAGACAUUUUCAUUGCUAGACAUUCUGAAGAAAUAUGAAAUUUUCUGAAUAUUAAGAGACCCCAUCAUCACCUCUGUAUUCAAAAUGUCUUUUCAUUUAUGCUGUCAGAAGAUGAUUAGAAAUAAAAUUUGAAGUGAAACCGUACACAAUUUUUACCUAGAUUUAUCAUCCUUCUUUGAAAAAUAUUCUUGACUAUAUUCGUUACUCUGAGCCUUUUCAACAUUCUGUUUUGUACAAUUCAAUCAUACUAUUGAAUAAUAAUGUGAUAAUAUGUGAAAUUUACUAUUUUUUGGAUUAUCUAUCUAACUUUUUCUACUCUAAUGUAAUACAAUUCUGUUUGGUUAUUUAAUAUCACCACUUGCUCACUCAUUACCUGUUCAUUGGGAUUGUUUACAGGUAAUAUUUAAGACGUAGAAGCAGAAGACAAUGCUACAAUGUAGGACAAUAAAAAUACUAUUUCAAAUGUGUCAUCUCUAUACUGGCCCCAAAAGAGGAAUGGUACGUUUAACGGAAGAGAAUUAUAUUACAAAUCAUGCUUAAAUAAUAAAAGCCAUCAUUUAAGAAAGAGUCUCCUCCA